rnacentral:rRNA from 1 species
UUGAACGCUGGCGGCAUGCCUUACACAUGCAAGUCGAACGGCAUCGCGGGAAAGCUUGCUUUCCUGGCGGCGAGUGGCGAACGGGUGAGUAACACAUCGGAACGUACCGGCUAGUGGGGGAUAACCCGUCGAAAGACGGGCUAAUACCGCAUACGCUCUUCGGAGGAAAGCAGGGGACCUUUGGGCCUUGCGCUAGCCGAGCGGCCGAUGUCCGAUUAGCUAGUUGGUGGGGUAAAGGCCUACCAAGGCGACGAUCGGUAGCGGGUCUGAGAGGACGAUCCGCCACACUGGGACUGAGACACGGCCCAGACUCCUACGGGAGGCAGCAGUGGGGAAUCUUGGACAAUGGGGGCAACCCUGAUCCAGCAAUGCCGCGUGGGUGAAGAAGGCCUUCGGGUUGUAAAGCCCUUUCGGCAGGGAAGAAAUCGGCGGGGCGAAUAACCCUGCUGGAUGACGGUACCUGCAGAAGAAGCACCGGCUAACUACGUG